rnacentral:misc_RNA from 1 species
UUUCCGUAGGUGAGCCUGCGGAAGGAUCAUUACAGUAGUCGCCCGGGUUGCCGCAAGGCCUCCCGGGUAACCUACCACCCUUUGUUUAUUACACUUUGUUGCUUUGGCAGGCCUGCCCUCGGGCUGCUGGCUCCGGCCGGCGAGCGCUUGCCAGAGGACCUAAACUCUGUUUGUCUAUACUGUCUGAGUACUAUAUAAUAGUUAAAACUUUCAACAACGGAUCUCUUGGUUCUG